UUCGGUGCGGCCUGUUGAAUCGGAUUGCCCCACCCACUCUCUUGUCUCGUUCUCUUCGGUGCUCGUAUCUCAUCCCCUCCGCACGCGGCCCGCGCACACACACGCGCAGACUCGAAAGAGGCAAGCUCGACGAGCACCACCGCCACUCUUCAUAACAUAGACCACGAACACGAUGCUACGCUGCAACAUCUCUCAGCGGGUGCCGACACACCCAGUGGUGUCUGUCAAGUCGGGGCUCGUCUUUGAGCGCAGCCUCGUCGAGAAGUACGUUGACGAGCAUGGCCGCUGCCCUGUCACAGGGGAUCCGCUGCGCAAGGAAGAUCUCAUAACGGCCCAGGGCGCUGCUCCAGAUGCGUCCAUCGCUUCAAGUGGCAGUCUCGGAGCUGCCUCUGUCCCUACGCUUCUGGAGCGCCUCCAAGUGGAGUGGGAGGGGGUGGCGCUGGAGCAGUUCAGCCUCCGCCAGCAGGUAACGCAACUGCAGCUGGAGCUGGCGCACGCGCUGCAGCAGUACGACGCCGCCUGCAGGGUGAUUGCGCGGCUUAGCAAGGAGCUCGAUUCUCUCCGCGGAGGCAAAGCCGUGGCUGCUGAGGAGACUGACAAGGGCCCCGCUGUGGUGGUGGUGCCGGCGCCGGUGCUGCGACGCAUGGACGCUGUCGAGGCGGCAGAGCGUCAGGCACGCAAACAGCGCAAGGCGGCGGCGGGCUCGGCGACGGCCACACCGUCGCAACUCAUGGAGGAGGCGGAGUGGGUGGCCACGUCGUCGUCAUCGGCGUCCGCAUCCUCUGCACGCUCGGCUGUGCGCGUUGCGGCGGCGGCCGACGCCAGCAGCUCGGGCGUCUUCGUCAGCGCCGUCACGGGCGAUCACGCCAUUGUGCGGUACAGCCCUGACGGUUUCAGCGAGGAGGCGCGUGGAGUAGGGCACACUGCCGCCGUGCACACACUGGCGAGUCAGCCGGGCGACAUCCUGCUCUCCGCCGCGGAGGACCUGACGGUGCGUGUGUGGUCGACGAAGGGCGCUGCGCUGACGGUCAUGCACACGCUGCGGUACGCGAGUGGGGUGGCUGCCAUGAGCCAGCGGACGGUGGGUGGGGCCUACAUGCUCUGCGGCGCCGCUGAUGGCGUCCUCACCCUCUCCGACCUGGAGAGCGGCGCGCACGUUGUGGCGACGGCGCCGCUGACGCUCGACACGACAUCGGGGGCGCUGACGUGUGUGGAGCUGCACCCGUACGCCUCUCUUGCGGCUGUGGCUUUCCAGCCAACGGAGCUGCAGCUCUGGGAUGCACGCGAGAUGCGCGCCGACACCUUCAUCUCCCACGUGCGGGGAACUGCUGCGCGCACGCACAUCUGCAGCGCCAGCUUUAGUGCGGACUGCGUGUCCCUCGCGGCUGGCCUCACGGAUGGCUCGGUGAACGUGUGGGACCUUCGCCAGGUGUUGGCCCCCGUAGCGGUGCUGCCGCCGAGCGCCGACGCCGUCCCAGCCACGGUACGCUACGCUCCAGACGGACGCUCUCUCGUCGUUGGCGGACACGGUGUGGCCUUAUACGACUGCGCACGCCUGUCGGCCUCUUCCACCGCGGUUGAAGCCGUUGCGACGGCAGGACUCAAGGCGAGUGCGGUGUGCGACGUGUGCUGGACGACGAGCGGUACCGACGUGCUGUGCGGUAGCGUGGACGGCGUCGUCCGCCUGUACUCUACCGCAGCCGGCGCAACGUAGCGUAGCGAAAGGUGGUGGUGGGGGGAGGCGAGAUGGUGAUCCUCUGUUCGGCUCCUCAUCCCGACCGGUGCGAACCUGCCUUGAUGGGGUUUUGCUGGAGUGCGAUGAGCAGCGAGGAUGGCGUUAACGCGAGCUUCGCGCGCGCGUGCAGAGCUGAUGCGCCUUAAGGAGCGGCGCCGCGACAACUUAAAUCCGCGAAGAAAAG
rnacentral:misc_RNA from 1 species